UCACUGGACGGCUGAUUUGCUUUCCAGAGAUGAAAGCCUAAAUCAGUUAAUCUAUUUUCCUUUAUCUCAUGCAAGUCUUGGUUCUUACAUUGAUGGCAAAGAAAAGAAGAUACAAAGGAAAAGGAGUGAGAGAGGUGAAAAAUUAGAGAAUGUUUGAAUCCUCAGGUCUGUUCAGGCAAUGUGGAAAGAGAAAAGGUGAUCAAAGGGAAACACCAUGUUCAAGAUGAUGUUUAAGAUAGCUGAGAUGCUUCCAUUUCUUCUUCUACCCUUGCUUCUGGAUCUGAAGAAUUGUGUGACCUAAUUUGAACCUAAUCCUGUCUACGGAAUCCCUUGGCUAAUAAUUAGGGAUGGUUUGAAUUCAAUUGGGCUAUCGAGUCAACUAAAUGCAGAAGUUAGAACCCAUUAUUUUGAAAGAUACUGCCAUUUAUAACUUCUAGCCACAGAAUUCUACAACAGGUUUUGUUCAUUAGCGUAAUUAUCCAAGGUGAUUCAAAGUCAUUUCCACUAUAGUCAUUCCUGAGCCAUCUUGAGAGGGCGAUCACUGCGGCAGAGGAAUCCAAAGAAACUGACCCUUACCUUGAAGUGAAAACCUGAGGAUGCGAAUCCACGUCUCUGGGGUCGAAAAGGUCACAAACAGAAAACCUGCUGCACUUCUGAGUCUUCACAGAUUUCAGUGAUUUGGUCCAAAUCCAGAAACCAUCUUGAGACAAUAAAAAGGCUGCUGAAUGGGAACCAAGCAGGACGGCUCAACUCUCACCGAGGUACCAGAGGCGUUUAAUUUUCAUGGUCUUACAAUAAAUUUAAAGGCAAAUUAUAAAAGUAAGGCUCAGUUUUGGUAAGGCUCCAAUUUAUGUGCUUCGGGCUUCUUCUAACUAGACUGUGGGGGCAGCGGGCUAAGCAAGUUUAGAUUUAAAGACUUUUGCCAAAGUGUCCCGCAUGGAAAUUUCCUGCAUUUUGUGGUGUUUCCAAAGGCAUCUCCUGGUACCCUCCUAGGCCUCAUCUCAUCCACGGGUCUGGAAAGUGGGCCGUGACAGCUGGAAGGUGAUGUUUUAAAGGGCCAGUGCUAAAGUUAGGGACCAAAUCACAUUGUCUAAUGCAUUUGGGAAAUCAGUAUCUGUUUUGGUGUUAAAAUUUAAUUAUCAUUUUAGUUUUUGCCUCUCAAGGGAAACUGAGGCCUGCAAGGGAGCUGCUAUGCAUAGUGAUUAGGAUCUCGGAGCCUCGGUUUCUUCAUGUGCAACACGUGGAUGUCAAUCACUACCUCAUGGUGAUGUUAGAUGGAAUAAAUUCAACAAUGAUUGCAAAGCCCUCAGCAAAGUUGCUGGCAUAUAUUGAGGGCUAACACAGCAAUCAUUAACAGGAGAAAAGUCGUCUGUUACAGGAUGAACAAAAUCUUCUGUAAAGCAUGAGAUUGAGAAAUAGAAUAAUCUGUGGGUUGACUUGGACAGUAGUGGACUCUGGUGUCCUGACUGAAUGACUGAAUGAGGUGGCCUUUGAAAGGAGAGAAAAUGGACGUCUUGUCUUCUCUGAGCUUCUGCCAACACUGAAAAGGCUGAGGAACGGUUUCAUGGUGUAUCAGGGUUCCGUUUUUAAAACUGGUUGCACACAUCCCUCAUUUGAGGGUCCUGUUGGGUAGUUUAGGAGAGAAAAUGAAUGUCUAUGUUCUUGAAGGCCAAUUUGGGAGUGCAAAUGUUGGAUUUGGGAUCUCAUUGGAAAGUCUGUGUUAUUUAAAUUUCUAAAGCGAGCCCUCUCAUGUGACCUCAAGCUAAUGCGUGGGUCUGCUGGAAUAACAGCUUUGAGUAAUUUCUUCCAGCAGUGCCUACUAAGUAACCCGGGAUAAAAGUAUUGUUUUCCCAUGAAUGGUGGAAUUGUCAGGAAGGUAACAAAUUGCCCCAGACUUUUGUUGGUGCAACGGAAUUCAAGCUUCUUUCAAUUUUUUUGGACUUCCAAAAAAAAAUCUUUGAGAGACUACUGUGUGGCAAUACUGCGUGCUGGCCAGAGAGUCUAUAGAUGACAACACAGUGUCCCAGAAUCUUGCCUUAUUUUUCUUUUCCCUCCACCCCCACCCGCCAUCUCUCACCAGACAGAAUAGGUGAAGAGGUUGAGUUGUAGAUCUCAUUUCUCCUGUUUUGCUGCUUGUGAAGUCUGCCAACAGAAUCCACCUUGACAAAGUCAAGGACUGUGCGUUUAAUGUUGAACUGAGUGAAUAAAUUAUGCAUGAAAUUGUGCCGGAGUCUCUAGUGUGCAGAAUUGCUCCUUUUGAUAUGAAAGGUUAAUUCAGAAAGGAGUCCAAAAUAGCUGGAAAUUGUGGGGAUAAGUGGAUAGUAUUCACUGUUGUGAGCUGUUAUUACUAGAAAUUGCAUUCCCUCUCUGGCUUCCCCGGAGAUUUCUCUUUGCCAGUGAAUAUAAACUGUACUCAAUAGAAUAGCAUUUAGGAGUAACAAGAGUGUAUGUCCACACACAAUAAAAUAUUCUAAUGGCGUUUUAAAAAGAAGUUGUACUUUUUCAGGUAUAUCAUGUACCCCAAGGAAGAAUUUCUACUGCAUUUAGGUCAAGAACAAGGCAUAGCAAACAUAAUGAGUUUUGGACAUAUAUGUAUUGUAAGGGGCUGCCUGGGACUCCUGUUUCUGAGCCUGGGCUGGUCAUGCCACUGAUUAGUCAUGCAAGCCUGGUUUCUGAUAAAGCCCAAACCAUCCUUGCUUAAAGAAGGAACCACCCCAAAUUGUUUUUAUCACUACAGCUUACACAUCCAGCUUUAAUUUAAUCUUUGGUAAAUUUAUGAAGUUCUUCAACCUAUUUCACUUAAAUGUCCUUUUUACACACAUCCUUAUAUCAUUUUUAUGUUAGUUCAUUAUUUCCAGCAGAAAAACGUAGCUGUCUGGAAAGCUAAAUUUGACUGAAAAUACACAUACACAUAUUUUUGGAGCUUGUUAGAGACUCUUUUUUGUGUUUCCAUCACAAGGGAACGGAAUUGAGCCACCAGACUGUGGAAGUUGUUUAUUUUUGUCGCUCUUAUGUACAUUUUCAGAAACCAUCUACUUCUUAAUCUACACCAGGGACUAGUAGUUUUUUUCUCUAAUUAUAAAGUGGUCUCAUUUCUGACCUGGCGUAGUUUUUAAUUUUAAUUCCUGGCUUGUGUUUAUAAACUGUUAGACUACAUUAUCCUGUUGGGAACGUUGAGAGAAAGGCUUCAGUCUUUUGUGUUGGUUUUAACAAUUAGAUAUUCAUUCAGUGUCUUAAAAUGUAUUUCGGAGCAACCAAAGAUGCACUUUUGAUGUCGUUUUUUUUCCUUCUGUGUUUCACUUAUGUAUCUAUUUCACAUUAGUGAUAAAGCUUGUAAAACUCUGGAUGGGUGACGGUGAAUAGUUGUAGUAGUAUUAUAAAACCUAACAGGAGUCAACAAAAUUGAUACAAUUACUUUUUUUAAUGUAUUUUUUUGUUUCAAAUGUUUAUGUGGAAAAAGAUAUAGAAAUCUUGGCGUAGGGAAGAUAUUCCUACAAAUUUUGGCAGA